rnacentral:rRNA from 1 species
GAUGAACGCUGGCGGCGUGCCUAAUACAUGCAAGUCGAGCGAACGGACGAGAAGCUUGCUUCUCUGAUGUUAGCGGCGGACGGGUGAGUAACACGUGGAUAACCUACCUAUAAGACUGGGAUAACUUCGGGAAACCGGAGCUAAUACCGGAUAAUAUUUUGAACCGCAUGGUUCAAAAGUGAAAGACGGUCUUGCUGUCACUUAUAGGUGGAUCCGCGCUGCAUUAGCUAGUUGGUAAGGUAACGGCUUACCAAGGCAACGAUGCAUAGCCGACCUGAGAGGGUGAUCGGCCACACUGGAACUGAGACACGGUCCAGACUCCUACGGGAGGCAGCAGUAGGGAAUCUUCCGCAAUGGGCGAAAGCCUGACGGAGCAACGCCGAGUGAGUGAUGAAGGUCUUCGGAUCGUAAAACUCUGUUAUUAGGGAAGAACAUAUGUGUAAGUACCUGUGCACAUCUUGACGGUACCUAAUCAGAAAGCCACGGCUAACUACGUG